rnacentral:snRNA from 11 species
GUAUUUUCCUUUAUAAGAGGUGCCACACUCCGAGGCUUAUCCAUUGCACUCUUGAUGUGCUAACCGCUGGGAUUUCCCCACAUUCGGGAAACUCAACUGCAUAAUUUGUGGUAGUGGGGGACUACACUCACGUUCUCCCCUA